CUUACACCGAGAUGGGCGUCUCUGAUCUUCCGAUGGCCCGCUUUCGAUUUCUCCAUCGUUGAUAACGUGCUGUGGACCUUCAUCACGGCAUUUGAGUCACUAGCUUUGGUGGCCAUGCUCUGUUUCUUCUUCCUCUUCUGCUGAAUUCCUGCCGUUGAAGAUGAUGGGCCAUGAGGGUGCACGGGAGGCACGUGAGUACGCAUGUACGCAAUAUCAUUUUAUUGUUUUUUUUUUUUUUUUUUGUAUUUAUUCAGUCGGUUUGUUAUUUUCAUUAAAAUGAGUAAUUAUGGUGUAUUAGAGUAUGUUUAAUGGUCCAGAUUUAAUUUUUCGAAA